GGGGUUGUGGCUCAAGUGGUAGAGCGCUCGCCUAGCACGUGUGAGGCACUGGGUUCGACCCUCAGCACCACA
rnacentral:tRNA from 1 species